rnacentral:rRNA from 1 species
AGGCAGCAGUGGGGAAUUUUCCGCAAUGGGCGAAAGCCUGACGGAGCAACGCCGCGUGAGGGACGAAGGCCUCUGGGCUGUAAACCUCUUUUCUCAAGGAAGAAGAUCUGACGGUACUUGAGGAAUAAGCCACGGCUAAUUCCGUGCCAGCAGCCGCGGUAAUACGGGAGUGGCAAGCGUUAUCCGGAAUUAUUGGGCGUAAAGCGUCCGCAGGCGGCCCUUCAAGUCUGCUGUUAAAACGUGGAGCUUAACUCCAUCAAGGCAGUGGAAACUGUUGGGCUUGAGUGUGGUAGGGGCAGAGGGAAUUCCCGGUGUAGCGGUGAAAUGCGUAGAUAUCGGGAAGAACACCAGUGGCGAAGGCGCUCUGCUGGGCCAUAACUGACGCUCAUGGACGAAAGCCAGGGGAGCGAAAGGGAUUAGAUACCCCUGUAGUCCUGGCCGUAAACGAUGAACACUAGGUGUCGGGGGAAUCGACCCCUUCGGUGUCGUAGCCAACUCGUUAAGUGUUCCGCCUGGGGAGUACGCACGCAAGUGUGAAACUCAAAUGAAUUGACGG